rnacentral:ncRNA from 1 species
UAAGAUUGAUCCUGUCUUUAGUUUAAUUUGCUUUUAGAUUGUAUUAAAUAUAAGUUUUUGCGUGGAAUUAUUUUGUCUAAAUGAUAAAUUUUAGUUUUUAUUUGUAGUUUUUAGUUUUGGAUAUCACAUAAUUGUGGAUUCAGUUAAUUUAUUUAGAAUUGUUUAAGGUUGUGCCAGCAUACGCGGUUAUACAUCCAAUUCAAGUUAAUUUUUUUGGUUUUUAUUUAUUUUUUUAUUUUGGGGAUUAAGUUUUUGUUAUAAGGUGAAAUUUUUAAUUUUAAUUAUUUUCUCUUGGUUAAAUAAUAUAAGAAAUUUAGAAUAUAAACUAGGAUUAGAUACCCUAUUAUUCUACAUGUAAAUUUAAAACCAUAGUAUUAAUAGUUAUGAUCUUUAAAUUAAAAGGAUUUGGCGGUAAUUUAGUCUUCUCAGAGGAACCUGUUCUGUAAUUGAUAAUCCACGUUGGAUUUAACUUUAAUUUUUAGUUUGUAUAUCUCUGUCAUUGAAUGUUCUAUUAGGAUAUUUUCUUUAAUUAUUAAUUUAAUUAAUGUCAGGUCAAGGUGCAGCUAUAUUAAAGGUUGAAAUGGGUUACAUUUAAUGUUAAUUUAUUGGAAUAUCUUUGUUGGAUAAUGAUGAUAUGAAAAAGGAUUUGAAGGUAAUUUUUAUUAUUUUAUAAAAAUGAUUUUAGCUCUAAAUUAUGUACACAUCGCCCGUCGUUCUCGUUAUUAAGAUGAGAUAAGUCGUAACAAAGUAAUUUUACCGGAAGGUGAAGUUGGAAUUAU